GCCCGGAUAGUAUAGCGGUUAGUACAUCGGUCUCAUAAUCCGAAAAUCUGAGUUCGAUUCUCAGUCCAGGCA
rnacentral:tRNA from 1 species